rnacentral:lncRNA from 1 species
AUGGCCGGGCCCGCUCCAGACCCUGGCAGUCCACAAGCUCCCAGUCGCCUGCCGUGGUCCCUCCCCGACAGGUUCUUAUUGUACCGCGCAGUGGUCGCGCACCGACUAGCUGUGCUUUUAAAGAUGAUUAUCACUAUGGCGGUGAGACAGUAGUUUGGCCGAGACCUGUUCCAGUACCCGAGCCAAAAAGGGUGAAGUAGAUCCAGGACCGUCACUGGAAGCCACUUCGAGAGAGAGGCCAUGCUUCUUAAAGUAUGGGUUUCACAGCCGCCAGUUUUUUGGAGGUCUAUAGUCACAUGUUAUUCACAAUCUUAUUUUUAUUACAGUCGGUUAAAAAGGAUUUCAUCCAUUGCUAGAACACUGCAAUCCUCAGCUUCGGGGGUAACCAGAAGGCUCUCUGCGCCCGCUGCUGGGAGGUGGCGGGGCCCCGGGUCCAGAGCCAGGCUGGAGGCGGGCGCGCCCCACCGCCCCUGUGAUGAGAGACAGCAGGAAAACUGGGCGUCCGGCAGCCCUGGGGCAGAACAGGUUGCUUGUCCCUGGGGAGCCCUCUAAGGGAUAAAGGACCUUGGAUGCGAUCAGUCUUUCUUUGCGGAAAGCCCUCACACCUGUCCUGAGAGAUAAUUUGCAUAAAAGCUGUUUGUGCCCUGGAGGAGAAAAGAAAGUGAUUAAAAGAAGGUGGGGAGAGGGGUGGUCUGAGAUGUCAGUAAGGAUAUUGGGCUGUGAAAUACGUUGGUCUUAUAAGUGGCUCUGCAAUAUCUUCUAAGAAG